rnacentral:piRNA from 1 species
UCAGUUGGUAGCAUGUUUGCCUAGCUUAC